AUUGAACGCUGGCGGCAGGCUUAACACAUGCAAGUCGAGCGGAGAUGAGGUGCUUGCACCUUAUCUUAGCGGCGGACGGGUGAGUAAUGCUUAGGAAUCUGCCUAUUAGUGGUGGACUACAUUCCGAAAGGAAUGCUAAUACCGCAUACGUCCUACGAGCGAAAGCAGGGGACCUUCGGGCCUUGCGCUAAUAGAUGAGCCUAAGUCGGAUUAGCUAGUUGGUGGGGUAAAGGCCUACCAAGGCGACGAUCUGUAGCGGGUCUGAGAGGAUGAUCCGCCACACUGGGACUGAGACACGGCCCAGACUCCUACGGGAGGCAGCAGUGGGGAAUAUUGGACAAUGGGCGGAAGCCUGAUCCAGCCAUGCCGCGUGUGUGAAGAAGGCCUUUUGGUUGUAAAGCACUUUAAGCGAGGAGGAGGCUACUUAGAUUAACACUCUAGGAUAGUGGACGUUACUCGCAGAAUAAGCACCGGCUAACUCUGUGCCAGCCGCCGCCGUAAGAC
rnacentral:rRNA from 1 species